rnacentral:lncRNA from 1 species
UUUUGAGGUAGCCUUGUGCUACCCACAGUGCAACCAGUGAGUCACUAUCCAAUUCAAAAUCCUUUGGGAAAAGUGAACAAAGUGCAAAACAUGGUUUCAAGUGUUGUGGCAAUGCAUCAUAACUCAAUUUGAGUGCGGGUAGAAUAUUAUCAUUUCCUAUACUCCACAUGUCAUCAUCUCUCACACUCAACCAUCGGUCUGGCUCUCUGUUCAAAUAGAGCAUGCUCCCUAGAGUUGCUACAGCUAAAGGAACUCCUCCACACUUGUUCACAAUAUCCUCUCCAAUUCCUAUCAAGUGUGGAUAGUGUUGCUCCUCUCCUUUCUUGAAUGCCCUUUUGAUGAGCAAGGACAUGCAGUCUUUGUGGGGANNNNNNNNNNNNNNNNNNNNAAACUUAAAAAAUCAUAACUUAAUCGAGAAAAUCAUUUUCAAGUGAUUAAGAUGUCUACUACAAAUCUUAUGAAGACACCUAGAUGAAAUUUCAAAUGUAACUGUACGAUUUCUAGAAGAAAAGAAACUGAUGCAGGAUGGCCGGGAUUGGGCCCGUCCCAUCCCGAUCCCGUCCCGUCCCAUCCGGGAUUAGGCCCGGCGGGAUCGAGUCUGAAAAAUGUAAGGCCCGUCCCGAUCCCAUCCCAUGUGUAACAACCGGGACGGGACGUGGGAUGACCUCAAUCCCGUCCCAUCCCGUCCCAUGCCCACCCUUAGCAAAGAGUGAAAGAAGCUGAAGUUUCAAGUUUUAACGUUGCAUGAAUACAAAACUGAAAACGACCACUAGUUAAGCUGCAGGUCUCAAAACGCAGCAGCUGCAUGCAUGGAUGACAUGGAUUUUGCAUUCUGUAUACUAAAUCUGCUUAUGUUACAGUAAUAUCAUUGACUAAGAUACUGCAUUGGAAGCACUGUUCAUUCAGAACUUUCUGAUUAAUGAUCAAAACAAUUUCCCUUACAACAACAAAAGGAAGUUAUCCCUACUAUUUUUAGGAAUUUCCCUUACAGAACAUAAGAAUAAUCAGAUUAAGCACUCCCUUGGCCAGUGUGGCCUUUGAGUCUUGCAAAUGUCAAAUAGCCAGUGUGGCCUUUGGCCUCACUACACGGUAGAUAUCCCAACGGAACCACCUUUCCUCAACCUGGAAGCUAACCAUUUUCCCUUGUCGAACUUCAUAUGUGCCAAAGAGUAUCUCAAAUGUCUGUAUAUCUACAUACAAGCAGAAGAUAAAGGAUCUUAGAGGCAAAUUCCAAAUACUUAAAUAAUUAAAAAGAGUUAGGGGACACAUGCAAAUUCCAGUUCAAAAAAAUCAAAAAACAAAAAACCACAAUGUACAGCACAAGAAAAUAACUACCUUAAAGCUAAUCCCAUCUUGAGGAAUCUUGAGGAAAGAGAGCUUUAAAUUUGACUUAAUGUGCAUUUAUGUAGGUGUGUAAACAUCACAUUCAGUUUGUUUUGUUUUAUAGAAAAUCAAGUAGUUCAUCAUAGCAUGCAGGGUCGAUAUAGUGUGUAAGAAGCGAUUUAAGUUGGUUUGCUUAUCAUUUGCCUGAUUUGAUCAUGAGGUUCUGAGUUUGAUAACAUAGUCGAAAUGUGGGUGGCUCUAGGAAGGAUGUAGAUGACAUGCCACUGUCAGCGACAAACUAUAAAUCGCCAAUUAGAAAAAAUUUGAUUCUAGUAGAAUUUGAUAACAUAACAUUCAUCUCUGUAAAAGCUAGAAGAAACCCUAAGCAGAAGGUUGAAGACGACGAGAAAUAGAGAGUUUCUAAAAACUUUACCUCAUUAAAUUUCCAAAACAAAAAACAACCUUACAAUUAUUACAGUAUCUCACUGUAUUUAUACUUAAUACAAAACAAACUAAGCUUUUAUUACAGCUGCAAAUCCAACAAGGAUCCAGCAAGGCAAGAAUGCCACAUCAGAAAAUACUGAAAAUAACCAUUGACUGAAAGUCAACAUAUGAUUCUAGUCUAAUUGGGUUUGUUAGAGUUAUUCAACUCUGCUUAUUGGAAAAUGUUGCAGGUAUUAGUGUACAUGAAAGAUCUCAAUUCUACAGGAGAGAUGAACAACCACAAAACCUAGAAACUAGCCAGGCAGGAAAAACAAAGCCAAUAAACAUAAAAAGAAAGACUACAGGCCUAAACCAGGCAUGCAAAGACCCAAGGAGAAAGAGUCGCCGCAGCUGCAAUUGCUCUGUGGUGACCGAGGCAUAUUAGUAGAAUGCAAGUAGCCAAGUGCAGUAUGUGGUGUACUGUUACUUCAUUCUAAAUCACCUAGCUGCAGUUCUGUUGCAACUCUGGAGAUCUACAAUACAUGAAAAGCCUGAAUGUUAUAAGUAUAUGAAAAUCUAGUCGUAGAGAAGAAAUGCAGCAAGUCACAUGUAUAUAAAACAUAAUGGAUAAUGUGAUUCUUACAUUAUGCUUUAAAUUUGAAGAAGUACACCAAUGUGACAUAGUGGCACACAUACAUAUAUUAUAAAGCAUUGGAUUUUAGAAUCAAGGGUACUUGCCUUAAAAAUGAAAGUACACUGUACACCAUUUUAUUUUUGUGUAUUCAAAGUUUAGAACUGAAAUCGUCUAUGUUUGAAGUCAUCAUUUUCAUUAAAGUGACAAGCAUAUGAAAUUGAUGCAUACCAUGAUAAAACCCACAAUGUUUAGUAUGAAAGUCACACGUUAUAUUCUUCAAGAUAUGGAUAUAAAAAUAAAUAAAUCAAUAAGUAGUCGAUAGUUCCUUACCUCAUUAUCACUUGAGAUAGCAUUGUGAUCAUCGAAAGCACCUUCAUCUUUGUCUUCCUCUUCGUCUGUAUCCACAUCAGAGUCGAGUACAAUCUUAGCCUCACGUGCGAACUUUGACCAAUCCUCACCUUUUAAUUGCCUUUUGCAGCUCUUGCUCAGUUUGGGACAAUCUUGAAUUUUCAAUUCUCUCAACUCAGUGAGGCGAUGUAACCCUUGCGGUAAAGCUGACAAAUUGGAACAACGUUCAAUCACUAGUUGCUCGAGGAAUGUAAAUUUUUGCAAUUCCGGAAGUUCAGUCAGAUUAUGACACUCCUUGACUACUAUGCUUUGCAAAACUUUUGCAGAAUCUUCAAGCCAGGGAGGCAAAACCUCCAAAUCUGAAGUGAAGAACGCAAAUAAUCUAAGACCUUGAGGGCUUUCUCUGGUUUUCAUCAAAUCAAGCUUUUUACACUCAUCUAUAUAAAGCACAUGCAGAGCGGUCAAGAGUUUCAUAUUUGGUGGCAAGGAUUCCAAAUUUUCACAUUUGGUAAUCAUCAAUUUACGAAGGUUAGUGAGGAAUCGGAUCUCUUCCCCCAAAGUCAUCAGAUUGUCACAUCCAACAAAAUAUAAAAGUUGGAUUGAAGUGAGGCGACUAAUUCCUUUUGGCAAAUACUUCUGCUGUGUAGUUAUCACCAAGCUUCGGAGGUUGAUCAGGUUCCCUAUGUCUUUGGGUAUCUCCUCAAGUGCGGUACACAUACCAAUGUUCAAGGACUCCAAAUUCAGUAAAUUACAGAUGGAGUUCGGAAGCCUUUUUAUCUUAUCAUUGGAACGCAAAUCGAGAAAUCUCAGAUGAAACAAACUACCAAUGGAACUUGGUAGCUUCUCAAGGGGCCACCCACUGAGAUCUAGCACCCGCAUAUAUUUGAAUCUCGAGAUGCAUGUCUUUACAAAACGUUGAUUCAUCAUCUUGCCAGCUCUAGAUGGAAUUAGAAAGGAACGCAAUUUGGUUGACUUGAAUAUGAAAUCAGGCACUUGUGCUUCUUGUCCAAGCAAGUCUUUGUCGGAUAUUGACACAUGUCGAACCAUUUCAAAAGCACUAGAGGGACGAAAAUUGACUGUGGAGUACUCUGUUUGUGCCACCGAAAUUGCUAUAUCAUGAACUAGAUCAUGCAUUUUAAAUAUCAUAAUGGUUUUGAAAUCGCCUUCAACUUGAAACAAUGAUCUAGAGCAGAACUGUCUUAUAUAGUCCAUACCCAUUUUACCAAGAUCUUCAUUUUUUUUACAUGUUUUGAGGUAGCCUUGUGCUACCCACAGGUCAACCAGUGACUCACUAUAGUAUUCAAAAUCCUUUGGGAAAAGUGAACAAAAUGCAAAACAUGGUUUCAAGUGUUGUGGCAAUGCAUCAUAGCUCAAUUUGAGUGCAGGUAGAAUAUUGUCAUUUCCUAUACUCCACAUGUCAUCAUCUCUCACACUCAACCAUCGGUCUGGCUCUCUGUUCAAAUAGAGCAUGCUCCCUAGAGUUGCUACAGCUAAAGGAACUCC